UACAGAGACUGCAAGCGUUAUUCGGAUUCACUGGGCGUAAAGGGUGCGCAGGCGGUCGGGUGUGUCAGAUGUGAAAUCCCGAGGCUCAACCUCGGAACUGCGUCUGAAACUACUCGACUAGAGUACUGGAGAGGGUAACGGAAUUCACGGUGUAGCAGCGAAAUGCGUAGAUAUCGUGAGGAACACCAGAGGCGAAGGCGGUUACCUGGACAGUUACUGACGCUCAGGCACGAAAGCAUGGGGAGCAAAAGGG
rnacentral:rRNA from 1 species